rnacentral:rRNA from 1 species
UUUCCGUAGGUGAACCUGCGGAAGGAUCAUUGUCGAAACCUGCAAGGCAGAACGACCCGUGAACCGUUCAGAACUCACUCGAGAGGCGGGCCUCCGUGCCCACCGCUCGUUGCCCCCACGGUUGGGGGUCGUGGGUCAAGCCCGCUCCCCCCUGCCGUGGGCGCAGACAACAAACCCCGGCGCAAAUCGCGCCAAGGAAGAAAGAAAGAAAGACGUGGCCCCGUCGGUCCCGGAAACGGUGCAUCGGGGGGCUUCGUCGUCGUUAUCCUUAUUCGAAACGACUCUCGGCAACGGAUAUCUCGGCUCUCGCAUCGAUGAAGAACGUAGCGAAAUGCGAUACUUGGUGUGAAUUGCAGAAUCCCGUGAACCAUCGAGUUUUUGAACGCAAGUUGCGCCCGAAGCCGUUAGGCCGAGGGCACGCCUGCCUGGGUGUCACAAAACGACGCCAAACAUCCCGACGCCCCCUUCCGAGGGGAAGCAUCGAGGGUUGGCGGAUAUUGGCCUCCCGUGCGCAGUCGCUCGCGGUUGGCCUAAAAGAGAGUCCCCCGAUGAGGCGACCACGACACGCGGUGGUUGAAAGCGUGCGCUCUCCUCGGACACCGUCGUGGGCGAGCCUCAUCAUGGGGGGAAGCAAGGGGCCCGGACGCAGAGCGUCUCACUCACAGCGACCCCAGGUCAGGCGGGAACACCCGCUGAGUUUAAG